AUACGUAGGGGGCGAGCGUUGUCCGGAAUGAUUGGGCGUAAAGGGCGCGUAGGCGGCCUGUUAAGUCUGGAGUGAAAGUCCUGUUUUCAAGAUGAGAAUUGCUUUGGAUACUGAUGGGCUUGAGUGCAGGAGAGGUUAUCGGAAUUCCCGGUGUAGUGGUGAAAUGCGUAGAGAUCGGGAGGAACACCAGUGGCGAAGGCGGGUAACUGGACUGCAACUGACGCUGAGGCGCGAAAGUGUGGGGAGCAAACAGGAUUAGAUACCCUGGUAGUCCACACUGUAAACGAUGAAUGCUAGGUGUAAUAGGUAUCGACCCCUUUUGUGCCGGAGUUAACACAAUAAGCAUUCCGCCUGGGGAGUACGGCCGCAAGGUUGAAACUCAAAUGAAUUGGCGGGG
rnacentral:rRNA from 1 species